AUAAACAUUAAAACAGUUUUUGUAUUUGGGUUUCUCUUUCCUCUCUCCAUUAAUCCCGAUCUGACUCCUCUCUACUCAACCCUCUCUCCAUUGGCGAACUUCGUUUUGAUUCUCGAAAACCCUAAUUCCUCUUCUCGAUCCUCUCUUUAGUCAAAAUUUCUCCAACCGUCGAAGACUGUUGCAGCAGCAGAGAGAGAGAGAGGCAUUUUCCGAUGAGAAUAGUUUUGCUUCAGUCAUGAUGAAGAUGAUGAUGAUGAUGAAUCGACGAAGCAACGUCGUUAGAUUUGAAGCUAAGAAAGUAGACGAAGAAGAAGAAGAAGAUAAUAAUGACGAUUGUUUC
rnacentral:lncRNA from 1 species